UGUUCAUGAAAUAGUCCUUGUUCCUGUCAUACAACUUGGCUGGUGGAAACUAUAUCCGGGUAUAAUGAGGUAGCUUGCACCAUGUCUCCAGCAGCUGAUAUUUCUUGUCAGCGUCCAGUGAAAAAGAUUGUAAAAUAAACGUGGCUGGAACUCUCCAUAAUAUAUUGUUAUUUUUAAGUAAAAAAA